CAUGCAAGUCGAGCGAACAGAUAAGGAGCUUGCUCCUUUGACGUUAGCGGCGGACGGGUGAGUAACACGUGGAUAACCUACCUAUAAGACUGGGAUAACUUCGGGAAACCGGAGCUAAUACCGGAUAACAUAUUGAACCGCAUGGUUCAAUAGUGAAAGGCGGCUUUGCUGUCACUUAUAGAUGGAUCCGCGCCGUAUUAGCUAGUUGGUAAGGUAACGGCUUACCAAGGCAACGAUACGUAGCCGACCUGAGAGGGUGAUCGGCCACACUGGAACUGAGACACGGUCCAGACUCCUACGGGAGGCAGCAGUAGGGAAUCUUCCGCAAUGGGCGAAAGCCUGACGGAGCAACGCCGCGUGAGUGAUGAAGGUCUUCGGAUCGUAAAACUCUGUUAUCAGGGAAGAACAAAUGUGUAAGUAACUGUGCACAUCUUGACGGUACCUGAUCAGAAAGCCACGGCUAA
rnacentral:rRNA from 1 species